rnacentral:rRNA from 1 species
UGGGGAAUCUUGGACAAUGGGGGCAACCCUGAUCCAGCCAUGCCGCGUGAGUGAUGAAGGCCUUAGGGUCGUAAAGCUCUUUCGCCUGUGAAGAUAAUGACGGUAGCAGGUAAAGAAACCCCGGCUAACUCCGUGCCAGCAGCCGCGGUAAUACGGAGGGGGUUAGCGUUGUUCGGAAUUACUGGGCGUAAAGCGCACGUAGGCGGACCAGAAAGUUGGGGGUGAAAUCCCGGGGGCUCAACCCCGGAACUGCCUCAAAACUAUUGGUCUAGAGUUCGAGAGAGGUGAGUGGAAUUCCAAGUGUAAGAGGUGAAAUUCGUAGAUAUUUGGAGGAACACCAGUGGCGAAGGCGGCUCACUGGCUCGAUACUGACGCUGAGGUGCGAAAGUGUGGGGAGCAAAACAGGAUUAGAUCCCUGUA